UCCUCCUCCUUUUUCUUCUCCAAUUGAGCAGUUCUGAAGAUCCUCUGCUGUGGGGAAUUGAAGGGGGACAGGACAAAGAAGUUUGCCCCAAGCAGGGCAACUGCUUUGGGGGUUGGUGGCGGGUGUUCUCGCCCCUGCAGUUAGAGCCACAGGGCAGCAGUGAUGGGCAGGAAGGAGAGCUCUCUCCUCGCUGUACUUCAAAGGCAGAUCUCUGUUCCCUAUGGCAACGUCCAACAACAAACCGACACCAUCUUUGGACGCAUUUCUCACAGGAGUUGAUGUAGCAUUACAUGUUCUGCUUGCUGCAUUUUUGGAGAAGUGCAUGCAGAUACUCAAGUGACUCACAGACAUGCAACAGCUCAGAAGGCCAUCCUGUUUGUCUUUCAGUGAGAAGGAAAAGAUCCAACUCCAUCAUACUCCUAAGAAAAAGCAUCUUCUGCUGAAGGCAUCAUGGGAGACCGGGAAGAGGAUCGGGAUGAAGCAAAACUCACGAAGCCCACUGUGAACACCUCAUGCCUUCCUUAAAAUCCCACUCAGAGGCCGCACCGCUCUGUCUCAUCACUGUCCCCGACCUGCAGGCUCAGAAUGGCCCCUCUGUGGCCCCCAACCCCAACCUAAUCCCGAGCAACUCAGCCCCAGCCCUCAGCAGCCUGCUCCACUCAGCCAGCAAAGCCAGUGGUUGGUGGGCCCUUGGAGGGCCCAACUCGUCGCAUGUGGCAACAGCCAAGGAACCAAUAAACAUCUGUUGAACAUCAGGCAAAUUUGAACCACCAUGGGACAUUAUCUUGUGUCAUGAACAGACCACAGUUGACUCUCGGUUCCAGCAAGUGGGAGCUGGGGGAGUGAAAAUCGGCACGCAGCUGUGGACAGCAACUGAUAACACAAGCGUCCUGAGUGCUCAAAACAGAGGCGAAUCCCUCUCAACCCAGUGACCCCACAUCUGGGACUCUUCAAGAGGAAUAACACCAAACACUGGAAACCAUUAGGUGCCUCCGCCCCUGAGGCAGAGCAAGGGGGCGAUGGGGCAUCGCCCUUCAUCUGGUGGCUGCCACAGAAGUGAUGGUGGGUGCCCAAUAGGCAGGGCCUAUUGAUCUGGUUUGUUUAUUUGAGACAGGGUCUCACUCUGUUUCCCAGGCUGGA
rnacentral:lncRNA from 1 species